AGCGAACGCUGGCGGCAGGCCUAAAACAUGCAAGUCGAACGCCUGUAGCAAUACAGGAGUGGCAGACGGGUGAGUAACACGUGGGAACGUACCCUUUGGUUCGGAACAACACAGGGAAACUUGUGCUAAUACCGGAUAAGCCCUUACGGGGAAAGAUUUAUCGCCAGAGGAUCGGCCCGCGUCUGAUUAGCUUGUUGGUGAGGUAAUGGCUCACCAAGGCGACGAUCAGUAGCUGGUCUGAGAGGAUGAUCAGCCACAUUGGGACUGAGACACGGCCCAAACUCCUACGGGAGGCAGCAGUGGGGAAUAUUGGACAAUGGGCGAAAGCCUGAUCCAGCCAUGCCGCGUGAGUGAUGAAGGCCUUAGGGUUGUAAAGCUCUUUUACCCGGGAAGAUAAUGACGGUACCGGGAGAAUAA
rnacentral:rRNA from 1 species